rnacentral:rRNA from 1 species
UACGGAGGGUGCAAGCGUUGUCCGGAUUUAUUGGGUUUAAAGGGCGCGUAGGCGGGUGCUCAAGUCUGUGGUGAAAUCCUCCGGCUCAACCGGAGAACUGCCAUGGAUACUGGGCGUCUCGAGGGUGGUAGGGGUAUGCGGAACUAUCGGUGGAGCGGUGAAAUGCGUUGAUAUCGAUAGGAACUCCGGUGGCGAAGGCGGCAUACUGGACCACAUCUGACGCUGAGGCGCGAAAGCCAGGGGAGCGAACGGG